GACGAACGCUGGCGGCGUGCUUAACACAUGCAAGUCGAACGGAAAGGCCCUGCGUUUGUUGCGUGCUCGAGUGGCGAAGGGGUGAGUGACACGUGAGUAACCCGCCCUUGUCUUUGGGAGAACUUCAGGGAACUGGGGCGAAUACCCGGUAGAAGAUCUUGCUGCGCGGGGGUGGUUGGAAAGUUUCGGCGGUUGGGGAUGGACUCGCGGCUUAUCAGCUUGUUUGUGGGGUAGUGGCUUACCAAGGCUUUGACGGGUAGCCGGCCUGAGAGGGUGACCGGCCACGUUGGGCCUGCGAUACGGCCCAGACUCCUACGGGAGGCAGCAGUGGGGAAUAUUGCACAAUGGGCGGAAGCCUGAUGCAGCAACGCCGCGUGCGGGAUGACGGCCUUCGGGUUGUAAACCGCUUUCGCCUGUGACGAAGCGUGAGUGACGGUAAUGGGUAAAGAAGCACCGGCUAACUACGUG
rnacentral:rRNA from 1 species